AAGACGAGAAGACCCUAUUGAGCUUAAUCAGGUUUUAAAUUUUAUGUGUGAUUAUUAUUUAAAACUAAAGUGUGGUUGGGGAAAGCUAGAUUUAAGAAAACAAGUCUAUAAUAGGCGAAGAUCCUCCUCGGGAGAUAAUUGGUAAAAGCUACCGUAGGGAUAACAGCGUAAUCUUUCUUGAGAGAUCUUAUUGAGGGAAAGGUUUGCGACCUCGAUGUUG
rnacentral:rRNA from 1 species